UUAAAAGUGAUGCUAUUCAUAUUUUUACUCUCUAAUUUAGAGGCAAUGAAACCCACCCCACCUGUUGAUUACUUGACCAAGAUGCCUUCUGAGAUCCUGUGGCAGAUCCUGACGGGAGUAGUCACAGUUGACGGUGAUGUGGCUAUCUUGAGGCUUGCACUGACAUGCAAGGUUUUUAGGGACAUUGUCAGUCACCCCCAAUUCCGAGAACAGGCUCACUUUAUGUGGCUUGACAGUGUUGUGAACUGGAGUGCAUUCUCCAAAACAUACAGAUAAAAGUUUCGGGUGCCCUACUCUUUGAGUGAAUGCUUCCACUGUGGAGAAGUAUUCAAAGACUGCCCACCUGGCUAUGUUGGGGAUGGCAGGAGGGGAGUCCUAUGUGGAUUUUAUUCAGAAAAGGAGUUUGAAGGCUAUUGCUCUAAUGACUGUUUUUUAAAUGACGGAGGAGAAUUUCAGACAGAAUAAAUAUAGUUAUUUAUAAAG